rnacentral:rRNA from 1 species
GACGAACGCUGGCGGCGUGCUUAACACAUGCAAGUCGAACGGAAAGGCCCCUUUGGGGGUACUCGAGUGGCGAACGGGUGAGUAACGCGUGAGUAACCUGCCCUUGACUUCGGGAUAACUUCAGGAAACUGGGGCUAAUACCGGAUAGGAAUCCUUGCUGCAUGGUGGGGGUUGGAAAGCUUCGGCGGUUUUGGAUGGACUCGCGGCUUAUCAGCUUGUUGGUGGGGUAGUGGCUUACCAAGGCUUUGACGGGUAGCCGGCCUGAGAGGGCGACCGGCCACAUUGGGACUGAGAUACGGCCCAGACUCCUACGGGAGGCAGCAGUGGGGAAUAUUGCACAAUGGGCGGAAGCCUGAUGCAGCAACGCCGCGUGCGGGAGGACGGCCUUCGGGUUGUAAACCGCUUUCAGCAGGGGCGAAGCUUGUGGUGACGGUACCUGCAGAAGAAGCACCGGCUAACUACGUG